rnacentral:tRNA from 2 species
GGAGGCUUGGCAGAGCGGUCGAAUGCGGCGGUCUUGAAAACCGUUGACCCUUCACGGGGUCCGUGGGUUCGAAUCCCACAGCCUCCGCCA